GAGUUUGAUCUUGGCUCAGAUUGAACGCUGGCGGCAUGCCUUACACAUGCAAGUCGAACGGUAACGGGUCCUUCGGGAUGCCGACGAGUGGCGAACGGGUGAGUAAUAUAUCGGAACGUGCCCAGUAGUGGGGAGUAACUGCUCGAAAGAGCAGCUAAUACCGCAUACGACCUGAGGGUGAAAGGGGGGGAGUCGCAAGACCUCUCGCUAUUGGAGCGGCCGAUAUCAGAUUAGCUAGUUGGUGGGGUAAAGGCCUACCAAGGCAACGAUCUGUAGUUGGUCUGAGAGGACGACCAGCCACACUGGGACUGAGACACGGCCCAGACUCCUACCGGGAGGCAGCAGUGGGGAAUUUUGGACAAUGGGCGCAAGCCUGAUCCAGCAAUGCCGCGUGCAGGAAGAAGGCCUUCGG
rnacentral:rRNA from 1 species